rnacentral:rRNA from 1 species
CUACGGGUCGCUGCAGUGGGGAAUAUUGCACAAUGGAGGAAACUCUGAUGCAGCAACGCCGCGUGGAGGAUGACACUUUUCGGAGCGUAAACUCCUUUUAUAUAGGAAGAAAAUGACGGUACUAUAUGAAUAAGCGCCGGCUAACUCCGUGCCAGCAGCCGCGGUAAUACGGAGGGCGCAAGCGUUACUCGGAAUCACUGGGCGUAAAGAGCGUGUAGGCGGAUUAAAAAGUCAGAAGUGAAAUCCUAUAGCUUAACUAUAGAACUGCUUCUGAAACUCUUAAUCUAGAAUAUGGGAGAGGUAGAUGGAAUUUCUGGUGUAAGGGUAAAAUCCGUAGAGAUCAGAAGGAAUACCGAUUGCGAAGGCGAUCUACUAGAACAUUAUUGACGCUGAGACGCGAAAGCGUGGGGAGCAAACAGGAUUAGAUACCCGUGUAGUC